GGCUUUAUCUUUAAUACGAUAAUAAUAUAAUAAUCUAUUUGGGUAUGAUAUAAAACACUAAGUUUCUGUUUGGAUGCAUAAAUAUCUUAUUAGAUAUAUUUCUAUAAUUUAUAUUUUAUAGAAGAAAAGUAUAAUCAAAGUCUGAAAUUAAAUACUAUAUUCGAUUUUUAAGCUAUUUGUUAGCAUAAAAUCAAUCAUCUCGUAGAUGAGAUAUGCUUCUUUUUUUUUUUUGAGAAAAAGGUAGCGCGCUACCUGCUUCAUUCAAUAAGAGAGAUGAACUAAGCGUACAAGGUGGAAGCAACUUAGGCUCCCGGCAAAAAUCGAAUAAGAAAGAACAAGAAAGAAAAAAGAUCAGAGGGAGAUAAAGGGGAGAGAAAAAAAAUGGGUUACAGAAGCGAGAUCCAAGAGUUAAACAGGGUUAAAACUUUGUCCGAGGCUUUGACGAUAUUGGGAAGAUUCGAAGAGAAGACAAAGCUGUUUCGCUCGAUCCAGACGACCCACCAAGUAGCCGCUAGCUUGGUUAAAUCCUUAGAUCUUAUAGUGGCGUUGGGGAUUUGUGAUGGUAAGUUUCAAAGAUCUUGGACGUC
rnacentral:lncRNA from 1 species